UGUAGUCAUAUGCUUGUCUCAAAGAUUAAGCCAUGCAUGUCUAAGUAUAAGCAAUUAUACAGCGAAACUGCGAAUGGCUCAUUAAAUCAGUUAUAGUUUAUUUGAUAGUACCUUACUACAUGGAUAACCGUGGUAAUUCUAGAGCUAAUACAUGCUAAAAAUCCCGACUUCGGAAGGGAUGUAUUUAUUAGAUUAAAAACCAAUGCCCUUCGGGGCUCUCUGGUGAUUCAUAAUAACUUCUCGAAUCGCACGGCCUUGCGCCGGCGAUGGUUCAUUCAAAUUUCUGCCCUAUCAACUUUCGACGGCUGGGUCUUGGCCAGCCGUGGUGACAACGGGUAACGGGGAAUGGGGCGGGGG
rnacentral:rRNA from 1 species